rnacentral:lncRNA from 1 species
GGCUUGCAUAUAUUACGCAUAAAGCUUGAUAUCUGGCGCAAUAAAUAGCCCGGCUGGGGUAAUUAAGGCUGCUCUUCCAGAUACGGUCCAUCGUCUGAUAGGCUGUGACGCUCAGUAAUGCCAGAGCCGUCAGCAGUCAAAAUGCGUGUAAAUGUCACAUCCUAACCAAAGCGCAGCAGUGGGCUGGGGCCCAGCAGGUCUCCAGGGCCACAUCAGCAUCCCAUAACUACACGUUAGCAAGCUCCUCCCUCAGUUUGGGUGAUUACAGCGGCUACGUUUGCAAAAUGCUUUUCUUUGGUGCUCCCAGUUCUCUGUGGGCUCGAUAAAGGCUGGUUCAUUUUUUUUCAGGUGACAACACCGAGGCUCAAGGCUAGAGAAUCUAAGACCCCGACCUGUAGCAUGGCUGGCCUCAAACUCACUCUGUAGACCAGGCUAGCUUUGAACUCACAGAAACCCACUUGCUUCUGCCUCCCAGGGGAUGGGAUGAAAGGCGUGCACCUCCACUCCCAGCGUUAACACCCAAGUUUCUCUCUCACAUGAUCAGCAUAUCUUCCCAUCCAGACACACCUGGAUCAAAUAGGCUUAAAAAAAAAAAAAAAAGAAAAGGAAGGAAGAAAGAGAGAGAAAAAAUUAUGUACAUGACAUUCUGCCUGCAUGUAUGCCUGCAGACCAAAAGGGCACCAGAUCUCAUUACCUGAUUGUUAUAAGCCACCAUGUGGUUGCUGGGAAUUGAUUGAACUCUGGACUUCUGAAAGAGCAGUAAGUACUCUUUAACCUCUGAGCCAUCUCUACAGCCCCAAAUAGGCUUUCUUUAUCUCUCCUUCCCAAAGGUCACUCUGGGAGCCAAUGAUGGCUUGGCUUUGAUCUGGUUUGGUUUGGUUUUGGUUUAAUUGGUUUGGAGUUCUUUUGAGACAGGGUCUGUAGAAAUCUUCCUGCUGGAUGCUGGAACCACAGUGACGUGUGUGUGUGUGUGUGUGUGUGUGUGUGUGUGUGUGCGCGUGCGCGCGCGCGCGUGCGUACACAAGCAUGUGUAUGAACAUGUGUGUGGAGGUCUGCUGACAGCCUCAGGCAUCAUUCCUCAGGAGCCAUCCAAGGUGUCUUAGCGUGUGUGGAGCAUCAUGUGUGUGGAUACACUCCUCCAAGUAGCACACAUGGAGGUCAGACUUUGAUGUCUGGGUGUCUUCCUCUAUCCCUCUCCAACUUACUUUUCCAGACAGGGUCUCCAGCUGAACCUGGCAAUCAUCCUUUCAGCUAGACUGAAUGGUCUGACAGCAUUUAAGGUCCUUCUAUCUCUGCUACCCAGGAAUGAGCCAACACAACAGCAUUUUACAAGAGUCUUGGGGAUCAGAGGUUCCCUAAAAUCAGACUCUGUCAUCGGCAAGUGGAGACUGUAACAGACUGGGACCCUCACAUGCCGAUAAGCAGUCAAGAAUAUUUUCUGGGAGCUGGAGAGAUGGGCUCAGCAGUUAAGAACACUGACUGCUCUUCCGGAGGUCCUGUGUUCAAAUCCCAGCAACCACAGGGUAACUCACAACCAUCUGUAAUGAGAUCUGAUGCCCUCUUCGGGUG